CAGGGAUUGCCCUAGUAACGGCGAGUGAAGCGGCAACAGCUCAAAUUUGAAAUCUGGCUCUUUUAGAGUCCGAGUUGUAAUUUGCAGAGGGCGCUUUGGCUUUGGCAGCGGUCCAAGUUCCUUGGAACAGGACGUCACAGAGGGUGAGAAUCCCGUACGUGGUCGCUGGCUAUUGCCGUGUAAAGCCCCUUCGACGAGUCGAGUUGUUUGGGAAUGCAGCUCUAAAUGGGAGGUACAUUUCUUCUAAAGCUAAAUAUUGGCCAGAGACCGAUAGCGCACAAGUAGAGUGAUCGAAAGAUGAAAAGCACUUUGGAAAGAGAGUCAAACAGCACGUGAAAUUGUUGAAAGGGAAGCGCUUGCAGCCAGACUUGCUUACAGUUGCUCAUCCGGGUUUUUACCCGGUGCACUCUUCUGUAGGCAGGCCAGCAUCAGUUUGGGCGGUAGGAUAAAGGUCUCUGUCACGUACCUCCUUUCGGGGAGGCCUUAUAGGGGAGACGACAUACUACCAGCCUGGACUGAGGUCCGCGCAUCUGCUAGGAUGCUGGCGUAAUGGCUGUAAGCGGCCCGUCUUGAAACACGGACCAAGGAGUCUAACAUCUAUGCGAGUGUUUGGGUGUCAAGCCCGAGCGCGUAAUGAAAGUGAACGGAGGUGGGAACCCGCAAGGGUGCACCAUCGACCGAUCCUGAUGUCUUCGGAAGGAUUUGAGUAAGAGCAUGGCUGUUGGGACCCGAAAGAUGGUGAACUAUGCUUGAAUAGGGUGAAGCCAGAGGAAACUCUGGUGGAGGCUCGCAGCGGUUCUGACGUGCAAAUCGAUCGUCAAAUUUGGGCAUAGGGGCGAAAGACUAAU
rnacentral:rRNA from 1 species